UACGAAGGGGGCUAGCGUUGUUCGGAAUCACUGGGCGUAAAGGGCGCGUAGGCGGCCUGAUAAGUCGGGGGUGAAAGCCUGUGGCUCAACCACAGAAUUGCCUUCGAUACUGUUAGGCUUGAGACCGGAAGAGGUAAGUGGAACUGCGAGUGUAGAGGUGAAAUUCGUAGAUAUUCGCAAGAACACCAGUGGCGAAGGCGGCUUACUGGUCCGGUUCUGACGCUGAGGCGCGAAAGCUAGGGGAGCAAACGGG
rnacentral:rRNA from 1 species